rnacentral:rRNA from 1 species
UACAGGGGGUGCAAACGUUGCUCGGAAUUAUUGGGCGUAAAGCGCACGUAGGCGGUUUGUUAUGUCGGAUGUGAAAGCCCUUGGCUCAACUGAGGAAGUGCAUCCGAAACUGGCAAGCUAGAGUAUGUAAGAGGGUCGCGGAAUUCACGGUGUAGCAGUGAAAUGCGUAGAUAUCGUGAGGAACACCAGAGGCGAAGGCGGUUACCUGGACAGUUACUGACGCUCAGGCACGAAAGCAUGGGGAGCAAAAGGG